rnacentral:rRNA from 1 species
UACGGAGGGUGCAAGCGUUAUCCGGAUUCACUGGGUUUAAAGGGUGUGUAGGCGGAUAUUUAAGUCCGAGGUGAAAAUCUCUGAGCUCAACUCAGAAACUGCCUUGGAUACUAUUAUCUUGAAUAUCGUUGAGGUAGGCGGAAUAUGUCAUGUAGCGGUGAAAUGCUUAGAUAUGACAUAGAACACCGAUUGCGAAGGCAGCUUGCUAAACGAUUAUUGACGCUGAGGCACGAAAGCGUGGGGAUCAAACAGG